UGCACUCACUACUGUAAGUCGCUCUGGAUAAGAGCGUCUGCUAAAUGAUUCAAA
rfam:Salmo salar isolate Sally breed double haploid chromosome ssa12, whole genome shotgun sequence.